GGUGUUCUGGCUCAGUGGUAGAGUGCUUGCCUAGCAUGUGUGAGGCACUGGGUUCGAUUCUCAGCACCA
rnacentral:tRNA from 1 species